rnacentral:rRNA from 1 species
UACAGAGGUCUCAAGCGUUGUUCGGAUUCAUUGGGCGUAAAGGGUGCGUAGGUGGCGCUGUAAGUCGGGUGUGAAAUUUCGGAGCUUAACUCCGAAACUGCAUUCGAUACUGCGGUGCUUGAGGACUGGAGAGGAGACUGGAACUCAUGGUGUAGCAGUGAAAUGCGUAGAGAUCAUGAGGAAGACCAGUGGCGAUGGCGGGUCUCUGGACAGUUCCUGACACUGAGGCACGAAGGCCAGGGGAGCAAACGGG